rnacentral:tRNA from 1 species
UCCCUGGUGGCUCAGACGGUAAAGCGUCUGCCUGCAAUGCGGGAGACCCGGGUUCGAUCCCCGAGUCGGGAG